rnacentral:rRNA from 1 species
UGGCGGCAGGCCUAACACAUGCAAGUCGAGCGGUAACAGAAAGAAAGCUUGCUUUCUUUGCUGACGAGCGGCGGACGGGUGAGUAAUGCCUGGGAAUAUGCCUUAGUGUGGGGGAUAACUAUUGGAAACGAUAGCUAAUACCGCAUAAUGUCUUCGGACCAAAGAGGGGGACCUUCGGGCCUCUCGCGCUAAGAUCAGCCCAGGUGGGAUUAGCUAGUUGGUGAGGUAAAGGCUCACCAAGGCAACGAUCCCUAGCUGGUCUGAGAGGAUGAUCAGCCACACUGGAACUGAGACACGGUCCAGACUCCUACGGGAGGCAGCAGUGGGAAUAUUGCACAAUGGGGGGAACCCUGAUGCAGCCAUGCCGCGUGUAUGAAGAAGGCCUUCGGGUUGUAAAGUACUUUCAGUCGUGAGGAAGGCAUUGUAGUUAAUAGCUGCAGUGCUUGACGUUAGCGACAGAAGAAGCACCGGCUAACUCCGUG